rnacentral:rRNA from 1 species
UAUUGCACAAUGGGGGAAACCCUGAUGCAGCAACGCCGCGUGAGUGAAGAAGUAUUUCGGUAUGUAAAGCUCUAUCAGCAGGAAAGAAAAUGACGGUACCUGACUGAGAAGCCACGGCCAACUACGUGCCAGCCGCCGCGGUAAUACGUAGGGGGCAAGCGUUCUCCGGAUUUACUGGGUGUAAAGGGAGCGCAGGCGGUGCGGCAAGUCUGAUGUGAAAGCCCGGGGCUCAACCCCGGUACUGCAUUGGAAACUGUCGUACUAGAGUGUCGGAGGGGUAAGCGGAAUUCCUAGUGUAGCGGUGAAAUGCGUAGAUAUUAGGAGGAACACCAGUGGCGAAGGCGGCUUACUGGACGAUAACUGACGCUGAGGCCCGAAAGCGUGGGGAGCAAACAGG